CCGAAGGAUCAUUAACGAGUUUUAAUUGUUAGGUUAGAGUUGAGCUGGUUAAUCUAAUUAAUAUGUGCUUACUCUAAUCGAAACAAGUCCACUCAUUACUUAACACUUGUGAACUUAUUCAUUACAAACAUUAUUAUUUGUUAUUGGAACGUUUGAUUAUUAACCAGUUAAUACAACUUUCAACAACGGAUCUCUUGGCUCUCGCAUCGAUGAAGAACGCAGCGAAAUGCGAUAAGUAAUGUGAAUUGCAGAAUUCAGUGAAUCAUCGAAUCUUUGAACGCACCUUGCGCUCCCUGGUAUUCCGGGGAGCAUGCCUGUUUGAGUGUCGUGAAGUUAUCAUGGUCAUGAUCUUUAAUUAAUCAUGGCUUGGAUUUGGAGGUUUAUGUUGGCUUUCUUAAGUUGACUCCUCUUAAAUGUAUUAGCUCGGUGUCUUAAUACUUAGAGCGGUUCACGGUGUGAUAAUUAUCUACACUUCAACUAAUCUAUUC
rnacentral:rRNA from 1 species